GACGAACGCUGGCGGCGUGCUUAACACAUGCAAGUCGAGCGGAGCGGCGAACGGGUGAGUAACGCGUUAGUAACUGCCCCCCUCUCUGGGAUCACAGUUGGAAACGGCUGCUAAUACCGGCUAGUGGGGGCUGACUCGCGUCCUAUCAGCUUGUUGGUGGGGUAGUGGCCUACCAAGGCGGUGACGGGUAGCCGGCCUGAGAGGGUGACCGGCCACAUUGGGCUGAGAUACGGCCCAGACGCCUACGUGAGGUAGCAGUGGGGGAUAUUGCACAAUGGGCGAAAGCCUGAUGCAGCGACGCCGCGUGGGGGAUGAAGGCUUUCGGGUUGUAAACCUCUUUCGCUAUCGAAAGGGUAGGUGGAGAAGAAGCGCCGGCUAACUACGUGCCAGCAGCCGCGGUAAUUC
rnacentral:rRNA from 1 species